GAAAUGCGAUAAGUAGUGUGAAUUGCAGACCGUGAAUCAUCGAAUCUUUGAACGCACAUUGCACUGUCUGGAAUUCCGGACAGUAUAUCUGUUUGAGUAUCAUUUCCCAAUCCUUAAUAAUAUCGCUUGAUUCCUUCAAGAUUGAUAUUUACAAGGGAGUUGAAGCAUAACAUCUCGAUGUUAGCUUUGAAAUAAUAAAAAGUCGCACAAGUUUCUACCGACUACCGGCAGUGAAGUCCGAAAGGAAUCUCUGUCGUUUUGUGGUCAAGAAACAUAAAGUGUGUCUCACGUAUCAUGUGUUGUUUGCCUGACUGUCAAAGGGUAUGUGACGGACACAGGUUUAAAGAGAGGCUCUAUCUCUCUUUGAUAUCGUGAUCUCAAAUCAGAUAAGACUACCCGCUGAACUUAAGC
rnacentral:misc_RNA from 1 species